rnacentral:lncRNA from 1 species
UUAUCAGAAAAAAUCCAUUGAUACUAAUUGUCGACUCCAUUUGCGCCUGAUGAGCUAAACCAGAUUGAUGUGCAUCAGCAUUAAGAGGCGAUUUGAGCUAAACCUUCUCUGAUUGUGAGAGCCUUGCAAGGGCUCUCCACAAUGAGGCUAAAGAAGAUGAGUCACACCCAAAUAAUGACAUUAAAAAAAUGGCAGAUACAAAAUUAAUUUACGACCAAAAAGAAAGGAAAAAAUACAGCAUUAUUGUCGGCCAGCUAUAUUUCCGAGUAAUGUCGAGGAAAACCUGAAACGAGCGAAGAGAUUUGUCUGUUCCACAAAUGUAACAAAGGAGCAUUUCAUGAGAGAUUUCUGUCCGGUGAAAUCUCCCUCUUCUUGCAUACAAACGACGAAUGAGAGAAAAAUGGGAGGCCCCACUGGGAAGAAAAGAUGAUAGCAGGACUAACGACUUCAUCCAGCUUUGCAGUCUCUGCAAUACCAGCAUACAACUCGGCAAUCCUUCUUGCCGCUCCAAUCGAAGGAAAACACCUCCACUUUAGCUUCUUGGAAGAGGAUAGCCGCAGAGCAACCAUUUUCCCAUUUAAAUUUCUAAGCCAUCGCCUUCCGGACCUCUCGGCCUCGUCGUGCUGGUGAUCCAGCCUCCGAUAGUGGCCUCCUGAGCAUCCUGCAACAAUAUCCUGGAACCCCAUCCGAAGGUGAACUCGGUAUAUAGAAUGGAUGGCAAACUGGAACGGCUUUAUAGAAAUGGAACUUGGAAGACGCAGCUAGUGAUCAGAAGUGAGAGUCGAGUUGUGUGGGGCCAAGC